rnacentral:rRNA from 1 species
UACGUAGGCGGUUCUUUAAGUCAGAUGUGAAAGCCCGAGGCUCAACCUCGGGAUUGCAUUUGAAACUGAAGAACUAGAGUACAGGAGAGGUAAGUGGAAUUCCUAGUGUAGCGGUGAAAUGCGUAGAUAUUAGGAAGAACACCAGUGGCGAAGGCGACUUACUGGACUGUAACUGACGCUGAGGUACGAAAGCGUGGGGAGCGAACAGGAUUAGAUACCCUGGAGUCC